CCCGCCUCCUACUUUCGGCAGCAUUUUUUAAUAUUGCCCACUUUGCGCAAGCCUUCUUCAGCCAUUCCUCUUGUAUGAAUCCUUCCUUCGGGUUUUCCCUUACUUUCCUCUUUUAGGAAGGCUCUCCUGUUAAUACCCUUUUCGAUUGACUUUCCCCGCAGAAUCCUCCCCGGCUAACUCCUUUCCAGCAGCCUCUUUAAUACGGCUUUUUCAAGCGCUAAUCGGAAUUACUGGGCGGAAAGCGCACGCAGGAGGUAGGUCAAGUAGGAGGGGAAAUCCAAGGGAGCAACCUGGGAACUGCAUUCGAAAAUGGCAGGCUGGAGUCUUGUAGAGGGGGGUAGAAUGAGAGGUGUAGCGGGGAAAUGCGUAGAGAGAGGGAGGAAUAAAGGUGGCGAAGGAGGAAAACUGGACAAAGAAUGACGCUCAGGUGCGAAAGCGUGGGGAGAAAACAGGAUUAGAUACCCCCGUA
rnacentral:rRNA from 1 species